GACGAACGCUGGCGGCGUGCUUAACACAUGCAAGUCGAGCGGUAAGGCCCCUUUCGGGGGUACACGAGCGGCGAACGGGUGAGUAACACGUGGGUGACCUGCCCCCAGCUCUGGGAUAAGCCUGGGAAACCGGGUCUAAUACUGGAUAUGACUCCAUGACGCAUGUUGUGGGGUGGAAAGCCUUGUGCGGCUGAGGAUGGGCCCGCGGCCUAUCAGCUUGUUGGUGGGGUGAUGGCCUACCAAGGCGACGACGGGUAGCCGGCCUGAGAGGGCGACCGGCCGACACUGGGACUGAGACACGGCCCAGACUCCUACGGGAGGCAGCAGUGGGGAAUCUUGCGCAAUGGGCGAAAGACCUGACGCAGCGACGCCG
rnacentral:rRNA from 1 species